CGUCACAACGGCUUCCUGGCGUGGCGCGAUAGAAUAUUGGAGCG
rnacentral:ncRNA from 1 species